rnacentral:rRNA from 1 species
GUCGAACGAUGAACCACCUUCGGGUGGGGAUUAGUGGCGAACGGGUGAGUAACACGUGGGCAAUCUGCCCUGCACUCUGGGACAAGCCCUGGAAACGGGGUCUAAUACCGGAUACUGACCCCCGCAGGCAUCUGCGGGGUUCGAAAGCUCCGGCGGUGCAGGAUGAGCCCGCGGCCUAUCAGCUUGUUGGUGAGGUAACGGCUCACCAAGGCGACGACGGGUAGCCGGCCUGAGAGGGCGACCGGCCACACUGGGACUGAGACACGGCCCAGACUCCUACGGGAGGCAGCAGUGGGGAAUAUUGCACAAUGGGCGAAAGCCUGAUGCAGCGACGCCGCGUGAGGGAUGACGGCCUUCGGGUUGUAAACCUCUUUCAGCAGGGAAGAAGCGAAAGUGACGGUACCUGCAGAAGAAGCGCCGGCUAACUACGUGCCAGCAGCCGCGGUAAUACGUAGGGCGCGAGCGUUGUCCGGAAUUAUUGGGCGUAAAGAGCUCGUAGGCGGCUUGUCGCGUCGGUUGUGAAAGCCCGGGGCUUAACCCCGGGUCUGCAGUCGAUACGGGCAGGCUAGAGUUCGGUAGGGGAGAUCGGAAUUCCUGGUGUAGCGGUGAAAUGCGCAGAUAUCAGGAGGAACACCGGUGGCGAAGGCGGAUCUCUGGGCCGAUACUGACGCUGAGGAGCGAAAGCGUGGGGAGCGAACAGGAUUAGAUACCCUGGUAGUCCACGCCGUAAACGGUGGGCACUAGGUGUGGGCGACAUUCC